CUUGAGAAGAUGAGCGAAGACUCGAAAACCCCAGACACAAAUUAUGUCAUCAUACAAAAUAAAAUAAAACUUUGUUCACAAAUCUGCAAGGGCGUGGGGGGCUGGGGUGGGUGGGGUUCCGGAUGCUGGGAAGUUGUGAGGUUUGGUUGAGGGUUGGUGGUUUCAACUUCUUAGUGCCUUGCUCAAAGGCACUUUAAUGGCAGUUAAAUAAAUAGGGUUUAGUGGAGGGGAUCACUCGCCUGCUGCUCUACGCUUCCUUCCCUGCUCGACCGACGUUCAAACACACCGCUUCGUCGUCACAGCAAUCACUACCCCGCCCUUCCAACCCCCCUUAUCCAGGCGGGCAAGGAAUGUGGGAGGGGGGUGGGUACCGGACUGGCUUGGACCGUAUCCCAGCAUGCAUCACGGUUAGUGUCGUGGACCAUACCCCCUGUCAAAGCACCCCCUUUGUGGAGAAGAGGCGAAAGUUUAAAGUUCGGCGGGAGAAUUUGUUUGAGGCUACCUCGGUUAGCUUCCGUUAUGCCACUCAGAGGAGGGCCCACUGGCACAAUAACAUAAACCUGGGCCGUCCUCGCUCUUCUGUUGCUCUUGUUCCACCAUCUUCUUUAGUUUUUCCAUCGGAAAAUCCCUGGGCGGCGAGAAACCGAUCUUUUCGACAAAUUUUGUGUUUUCUUUGAGGGUUGUUUGGUUCGUUCUUUUACCUGCUUGAGAUCUAGCCUGUUUGCUUGCCGGUGACGAUCCAAGUGCCAUAAAUGAGGGUAGCAAGGAAUCUUUUUAUUGUUAAUAUAAUUUAAUAAUAAUUUCUUUUUUUUUUCUUUUUCGGCGGCCAUCUUUGUUGUCCCGGCGCCAUGAAAACGGGAAACUUUGUGUUGUUUAACAAAAAUAAACACACAAUUAUACGAGAUGACUCAGAAAACGUCAGUUGGGAAGCCGCCAUCAGUUGCUCUGCGUUUCCAUUUGUUGCCCUGUUUUUUUUUUUUUCUGCACCGUUGAAUCUGCUGCUCACACGGACAUCGUACGCUUAGGACUCUAGCGCCGGAUAAAAAUGAAACGAUGGCGAGGCAUCGGAGAGCCCCCUCGCCCGUAGACGGCUUUGAAUCGACGGUAACACUUUAAGGGAUGAGAUGAUUUAAAGACUAAAGGCUAUGAAGUGAUGAGUGUUGUGUAAACAUGCUAAAUAAAAGUGACAGCUUUUUUUUACAGUU
ensembl:lncRNA